AGUGAACGCUGGCGGUAGGCCUAACACAUGCAAGUCGAACGGCAGCACAGUAAGAGCUUGCUCUUACGGGUGGCGAGUGGCGGACGGGUGAGGAAUACAUCGGAAUCUACUUUUUCGUGGGGGAUAACGUAGGGAAACUUACGCUAAUACCGCAUACGACCUACGGGUGAAAGCAGGGGAUCUUCGGACCUUGCGCGAUUGAAUGAGCCGAUGUCGGAUUAGCUAGUUGGCGGGGUAAAGGCCCACCAAGGCGACGAUCCGUAGCUGGUCUGAGAGGAUGAUCAGACACACUGGAACUGAGACACGGUCCAGACUCCGACGGGAGGCAGCAGUGGGGAAUAUUGGACAAUGGGCGCAAGCCUGAUCCAGCCAUACCGCGUGGGUGAAGAAGGCCUUCGGGUUGUAAAGCCCUUUUGUUGGGAAAGAAAAGCAGCAGGUUAAUACCCCGCUGUUCUGACGGUACCCAAAGAAUAAGCACCGGCUAACUUCGUG
rnacentral:rRNA from 1 species